GUCUGCCUAACUGCAAAACAAUUUGGUUGGCUUAUAAAUUGCUGCCUCUAUCAUGUGCUUCUGAAUUAAAAGGAACGGAUGGUUUUUAAAGGUUUAUCUGUUUCAUUAUUGAUGCAGAAUGACCUCGUGCUGACAAAUUUCGAUUUUCACACGGUUUCUUUGCUGAUGCAGUAUCUCUGCCACCCAUGCUCUAGGGCAGCGUGGAGCCACUUCAGAGCAUGGCUUUUGUGAGCCAGCGCCCAGCAGGGUGUUCUUUUCUGAGUGCAAAGAGAGAAUCCACUGACCUCAUUUGCUUCCAUCCUGUGAACCUCUCAGUGUGUUUCAGAACACCAGGGUCUGAACAGAGAAGCUUCAGAAUACUUUCUCCGACUAGAGAACUUUUUUAUGGUGGGAGGAAAAAAUGUUGCCAGUCCCACUUCACAGACACCUGGAAUUCAUGAAGUCUGAGGACUUCUUUCAUUUUACUUUCAACUAAAAGCUCUAGCACGAAACAGCAAAGGCUCACAGAACUAAAGAUCAGGAGGUGGCCCUGUGAGAGGGUGUUCAGCCUGGAUCCCUGGUGAAACUCCAUCAUUGAGCAGCAUAUCUACUUCAGAAAGCGUGGAAAGAAAAGAGCCUGGUGGGAAAAGUCUAUCAAGUGAUAGUGACGUGCCCUUAUGGAAAAAAUUCUGGGAUAACACCCUCCAAAACCCCGCAAGGUGAAGCUCAUGUCAUCCAAAACCAAGGCAUGAGCCAGAGCCUAAAUAGAGGAAAGAAAAUAGAAGAGAGAAUUCUAGCGACAUAUCUGGUCAUCAUUCCAAGCAACCUGGCUGAACUUUUGCAUCGACAAACAAUUUUUUCUUGAGCAUUUUUAAAUUUACAAGCUGGUUUUCAACAAAGCUUUUCAAAAAGAAGUCUUUAUGAUGGUAAAUCUUUAAAAGAAAUGUGUUUUAGACCAAGAAAGGCAAACCUUUCAUGUCCUGUUUAGUCUCUAGCAUGCUUGUUUUCAAAACACAAGCUCCAGUCUGCAUGUUUCUGCAGUCAACUGUCUGUCUUAGAAAAUAUCUCAAAAUCAAUCUGUCCCCGUGUUUGCUUAUGAUUCUGCGGUAAUCCUCUGUUUGUAGUCACAAGUUGUCAGGAGAACAUCAUGUAAGGCAUGGUAUGAAGACUUAAGAAAUCUUGAAAUCAGAAACUUCAAUUUUCUUUCUCUUGAAGUGUUUCUAAGGGAUGAAAAAUGAGAAAGGAAAUUAGCAUCUACUGUUACCUCAUUUAAUUCCUUCAACCAUCUUCAGGGUAUUAUUGUCUCCAAAAAGAAACCAAGGUUCAGAGAAGAGGACUCACUUGCCCUGUGACCUAUGACCAGGGGUCCCACGUUGGGACCCAGAAUUCUGACUCGAACCCAGUGCUGGCUCCCCUGUGUCCCAGGGAUGGGCAGGAUAAGAUGUUCUUUAAAACUUUGUUUGUUGGGCACCUCAAAAAACCCUUAUGAAUUAUUGCUUAAGUUAUUUUGGCAUAAUAACGUCACUAAGUCCAUGGAAAAUUAAACUUUUAGAAUCUCUGU
ensembl:lncRNA novel transcript